rnacentral:rRNA from 1 species
AUUGAACGCUGGCGGAAUGCUUUACACAUGCAAGUCGAACGGCAGCACGGGGGCAACCCUGGUGGCGAGUGGCGAACGGGUGAGUAAUAAAUCGGAACGUGCCCGGUCGUGGGGGAUAACGUAGCGACAGGUAAGCUAAUCCCGCAUACGAUCUGAGGAUGAAAGCGGGGGACCUUCGGGCCUCGCGCGAUCGGCGCGGCCGAUGUCAGAUUAGGUAGUUGGUGGGGUAAAGGCCUACCAAGCCGACGAUCUGUAGCUGGUCUGAGGGGACGACCAGCCACACGGGGACGGAGACACGGCCCGGACUCCUACGGGAGGCAGCAGUGGGGAAUUUGGGACAAUGGGCGCAAGCCUGCUCCAGCCAUUCCGCGUGCAGGACGAAGGCCUUCGGGUUGUAAACUGCUUUUGUAUGGAACGAAAAGGCUCUGGCUAAUACCUGGGGCUCAUGACGGUACCGUAAGAAUAAGCACCGGCUAACUACGU